rnacentral:rRNA from 1 species
CCGUAAGCACCAGUCGGUCGAAGAUACCAGGUGGCUGCGACUGUUUAUUAAAAACACAGCACUCUGCAAACACGAAAGUGGACGUAUAGGGUGUGACGCCUGCCCGGUGCUUGAAGGUUAAUUGAUGGGGUUAGCGCAAGCGAAGCUCUUGAUCGAAGCCCAAGUAAACGGCGGCCGUAACUAUAACGGUCCUAAGGUAGCGAAAUUCCUUGUCGGGUAAGUUCCGACCUGCACGAAUGGCGUAACGAUGGCCACACUGUCUCCACCCGAGACUCAGUGAAAUUGAAAUCGCAGUGAAGAUGCUGUGUAUCCGCGGCUAGACGGAAAGACCCCGUGAACCUUUACUAUAGCUUCACAGUGAACUUUGAACCUACUUGUGUAGGAUAGGUGGGAGGCUUUGAAGCGGUGACGCCAGUUACCGUGGAGCCACUCUUGAAAUACCACCCUGGUAUGUUUGAGGUUCUAACUCAGGUCCGUUAUCCGGAUCGAGGACACUGUGUGGUGGGUAGUUUGACUGGGGCGGUCUCCUCCCAAAGAGUAACGGAGGAGCACGAAGGUGUGCUCAGCAUGGUCGGAAAUCAUGCAUAGAGUGUAAAGGCAAAAGCACGCUUAACUGCGAGACAGACACGUCGAGCAGGUACGAAAGUAGGUCUUAGUGAUCCGGUGGUUCUGUAUGGAAGGGCCAUCGCUCAACGGAUAAAAGGUACUCCGGGGAUAACAGGCUGAUACCGCCCAAGAGUUCACAUCGACGGCGGUGUUUGGCACCUCGAUGUCGGCUCAUCACAUCCUGGGGCUGAAGCCGGUCCCAAGGGUAUGGCUGUUCGCCAUUUAAAGUGGUACGCGAGCUGGGUUUAGAACGUCGUGAGACAGUUCGGUCCCUAUCUGCCGUGGACGUUUGAGAUUUGAGAGGAGCUGCUCCUAGUACGAGAGGACCGGAGUGGACGAACCUCUGGUGUUCCGGUUGUCACGCCAGUGGCAUUGCCGGGUAGCUAUGUUCGGACGGGAUAACCGCUGAAAGCAUCUAAGCGGGAAGCCUCCCUUAAGAUAAGAUCUCACUGGGAC